UACCAGCACCCCGAGUGGUCGGGACGUUUAUUGGGCCUAAAGCAUCCGUAGCCGGUUCUACAAGUCUUCCGUUAAAUCCACCUGCUUAACAGAUGGGCUGCGGAAGAUACUAUGGAGCUAGGAGGCGGGAGAGGCAAGCGGUACUCGAUGGGUAGGGGUAAAAUCCGUUGAUCCAUUGAAGACCACCAGUGGCGAAGGCGGCUUGCCAGAACGCGCUCGACGGUGAGGGAUGAAAGCGUGGGGAGCAAACAGG
rnacentral:rRNA from 1 species